UGUACCGAGAAAGAUCGGAGCAAUGAAGAAUCUGCAAAAGCUAUCAUUUGUAAAGGCGAAAAGGCAUAACAGAAUGAUACAGGAGCUCAAAAAUCUGACAAAGCUGAGGAAGCUGGGCAUUGUAGAACUAGCAAAAGAAGAUGGCAAUAGCUUGUGCCACUCAAUUGAGAAGAUGCCGGAUCUCCUUUCCUUGGAUGUUACCUCCCUUAGUAAGGGGGAGCCUUUGGAGCUUGAUGCAAUGACCAAUCCCCCGCGUCUUCUUCAACGCCUGUAUCUCAAAGGGCACUUGCAAAGGUUUCCAAAGUGGGUAUCUUCUCUACAUGACCUGGUGAGAAUACGCCUAAAAUGGUCCUUAUUGUCACAAGACAACCCAAUUGAAGCUCUUCAAGAUCUUCCAAACUUGAUGGAGCUGCAGUUACUUGAUGCAUACACUGGAACCCAGUUGGACUUCAACUCGGGAAAAUUUCAGAAGCUUAAGAUAUUAGACCUUGAGCAAUUGAAACAGCUGAGGUUUAUCAUAAUGGAAGAUGACACAUUGCCUUGCCUACAAAAGCUGAUCAUAAGGCAAUGCAAUGAGCUGGAACAUGUCCCCGUAGGCAUUGACGGGCUUCAUCAUCUCAAUGAGCUGCACCUCUGCGAUAUGCCUGAGAAAUUCGUGGCACUGCUGAAGAAAAGAGGCGGUGAACUUCGCCAUUUGCUUCACCGUAUUUUGCGUAUUCUCUCAUAUCAACAGGGCCAGUUGGUGGAAGAUCUUUCAUGACCAUAAAUGCUACAUCUGUGACAUGCACCAGUGGAACAAGAAUCAAGGUUUGUAUAACUACAUGGAUUCAUCGCUUGCUUCUUUUGGAUUCCUCAAAAUGCAUUGUCGUCAAUUCCUUUACUAGCAAUAUUACUGCAUGUUCCUAGGAAAUCAUGGUGGGAUAUCUAGCAUUUAUACAUAUCAAACAUCGAAUAUCUGUGGAGUCAUAUUUGAAACUGCCAUUGUUGAAACUACGCCGAGACUCGGUACAAGACAGUCGGAUUAUGGUUAGGUGUCAAGCCCCUGAGCCUUCCAAUUGAUUUUUAUUAUUCUUGUAUUGAUAAUAGUAUGAAGUUAGAAUCAAUUUUAUUAUAUUUCGCUUAAAACGUCGGAAUCAGUUUCACAUUAAGCUUGUAGGAUAGCGAACAAAUUGAAUAUCAAUUUACUAUAAAAAUCUUCUCUUUUUUUUUUUCAAUUUUUUUAUUUAUUUUAUACUUGUGUCUGGUUUGGUUAACAAAUAAUGACAUUAUGCCCACUUGUGAAUUUUUAAUAUUAUGUUUUUAUGAUUAUUUUAGAUGAUAUUAAAUAUAAUAGUGAUUUGCUUUAAUUGUUGGUUUGUUGAAUGCAUUCUUAUCCAAUUGUUUUUAUUUAUUUUCUCUAAAAUUUUUAUUACUUUAAAAUUGUUCUAUACUUUUUAAUUAAUUAAGCAGUUUAUUCUGCAUAUAGUCUGGUUUAAUCGAAUAAAAUACGAUGACGAAGUCCUCUAAGAAUCUUCUAUAAAAGUCAACUCUGCCCAAUCAAUUCUUUCACAGGGGAACAAUGGUUUAUUAAUGUGCAACUAGCGUUUUUAUAAAUAAAAUAUUCUUAAUUUCCUCUAAAUAUCAGAUUAGUGUUAGACAAAACCAAUAAUAAUAUUUUUAUUGGGAUUUUUCAAUGGCAUUAUAAAGUCACCAAUCAAUUAAUAAAAAAUGGUCAUUGAAGUCACCGUGAUUUAUUGAUUUAUUUAUUUUUACCUGGACAAUGAUCUUAAUUAUUGUUUUUUCUGUAUUAUUUAAGUAUCAAGUUUUUAACAAAAGAAACCCAAGGUUAUGGAUGGGCAUUUCUCAAUACUAGAGGUACUAGUUUUUUUAGGGAAAAAUAGGUAUAAAAAAAAUUUAAUAUUUGCUAAAUUUUGGAAAAGUUGAAUAAUAUUGAGAUUAGUACCUUGAAAAGUUAAAAUUAUUCAAACACAAAAUAAAGAAUAAAAAGUAUAUUAAUAAUUUGUUUAGUAAAUUUUAACAUUUCUUUUACUUGAAAUUUUUUUAAAAAAAAAUUCUAUAUAGGGCAUAUAAUUAGGAUUAGGUUUAUUAAUAAAUGAAAUGUUUUUCUUAGCUGACAAUGCAAUCAUGUUGACCCAUAAAUUUGCAUUAGAUUUAUGAGAAAACUUUGAAUUUCUUUAUUUUCUUUUACAUGGCACAAAGGUUUAUAUAGAUUGUCUUGAAGUAGCAGUAAAGUGAUCCUUUAAGUACCACAAAUACUUGUGAUUUGGAAAUAAUCAAAGUCUUCCCAAUUGGGACGACCCUAGGUUCCAAUACAUUAGCAUUGAUUUCUUUGAGUUGUAUAUGAUGCUUCUUUUCAUGUUAUUUACGACAUUGACUACUAGAAUCUCUUGCAGAUGCAAGUGGCAUUCAUUAAAAGUUAAGACCACUGCUUUCAAGGGUCCUAUGUCCAGCUUCCGAGCAACAACAAUACGAGAAUGGGAAUGGUAAUGGGGUGGAAUUUUCUUGAUGGGACAAAUUUGGGAUAAAUAUGAAUGAGUUCAACCAACAAAUUUGAGAUUUUUUGUUUUUUUUUUGAACCCAAAGUGGGUUUGGGUAUGAUGUUGUCCCAUCCCAUAUGUAAUAUUAAAUAAAAAUGAUUUUAAUACAUUUUUGACUUUUUUUAACAUAUAUCAAAUAUUUUUUUUUAUAAAGAUAAAUUAUACAUAUUUAUAAUAUUUAUUUAUUUGUAAAUUAUAUUUAUUUUUAAUACAAUUUAAAAGUAAAAAAAUUAAGAAAAAAUAAAAAAUAGACAGACAAGGUGAAUAUGAGAAUUUUCCUACAUCUGUUCUACCUAUUUAUUUAUUUUUUUCAUGAAAAUGAGAAUAAAUAUAAAUAAAUUGGACGAUAUUAAAAUAUGGGUGACCAUCUCAAACUUGCCCGUUACCAACCAUAACCGAGAAGAUUGGGUCAAUGUGGAUUUUUAAGCUCCUUUUUUGGUUUGGGUUUGCAAAAAAAGACCCAACCAUUUAUUCGUUUGGCCAUAUGAAGUUGAUGAAUGCAACACCUUAACUCGGAACAUGACAUCCAUCAAACUUAGGCAAUCUCUCGCGUAAAUUUUAAGAAAUCACAAUAACUAGGAAUUUUCAACUAUGAAAUUUCCAAAAGAUAGCAUCAUUUUACAUUGUUCUAAGGCCAGUGCCAAAGGGUUCAUGUAGAAUUUUCAAAAUGUUUUUGUCCUGAGAAAAUACAUUUUGGAUAUGUUUCGUACCCAGUAAAUUCCAGGAUGCACAUAAUGGAAAUAAAAUUGAAAAAAAGAAAAAAAAAAGUAAAGAAAAAUAAAAUAUAGAUUUAAGAUCAAUAAAUUAUGUUAUAUAUUUCUUCAAACUAAUUUCACUUAUUUUCCUUAUUAUCUAAAGAUUAAAUAAUUUUAAAAUACAUAAAUCUUUUAUUAACUUUCAUUAUAUUUGAUUUUUUUUUAUAUUUUUUAUAAUAAAAUUAAACAUGAGAAAAUUAGUUUUAUUAACAUUUUUUUUUCUUUUACUUUCCUAGAACCGAACAUAGUACUAAGAAGCUAUAGCUAGAAAUGCCAUGAUACCAUUUUCUUGAAAACUUCCAUAUAAUUAAUAUGUACAUGUAGAUUACCUACAAUUUUCAAAUAGACAAGUACUUGUGUGUUUCAGUUUCCAAAACUUUUAUUAGGAACUCAACUUAAGACUUUACUGAAUUCAUGGGAUUGUCAGAUUUAGUAUAGGAAGAAAUUUUCCAUUGUUGACUAUAAUCUAUAUAUGGUGACCAUGUGACAUUAAUAUAUUUAUUUAGAUAUAUAAAAAAAUAUUUGAUUAAAAGACUUAAAAUACUCUUUGUAAAACCAAGGUUUGGUUAAUCUUGAUUUUGAUGAUAAAAAUAAAAAAUAAAAUUAGAAUUCAUGAUUAUAUUUCAACUGUCACUAGACAAGAUGAUUUCUAGAGUGACAAUCACAAAAAUAAAAUUAAGUCAAAGAGAAAUCAAUAAAAAGAAGAAAACCUCAAAAAGAAAUGUUUUUCAAGACCUAAGCUCCAUAGGAUAUCUUUGUAAGGUUGUUGGUGCACCAAGUUUUUCAUGCAUUACAUUCUUUACUUAUGCACCAAAAUCAUUUAAGAAUUAUUUUGUUUUAAAUAUUUUAAAAUAAGAUGAUUUCAUGUUUUCAACUAAAACUUUGUGUCAAAUACUUUCCAAACUUGUUUAAAAUAGUUUUAAGUUAAAAAGAUGGUUAUUGAACCAAAAACGACUCAAUUGGUUGAGAAAUUUGCUCAAUCGGUUGAACAUAUUGAGGAACCAAUCAACCUGUUCAACUUAACUGGUUGAAGGGUGUAAAAAAACUCUUUCUCUUCCAGAACACUUAUUCGAUCGAUCGAUCGAGGUUGGACCUCAUCCGAUUGACCAAUUCAGCUCAAUCAGUUGAAAGGUGUAAAAAUCUUCUUUCUAUUCCAAAAUACUUCUUUGACUAGUUGAGGUUGGACUUCAUCUGGUCAAGUACUAGUUGAGGAGCGGUUGAGGUUCAACAGUCACCUGUCAUGCAUUAAAUGUUAAUGGCUAGUGAACCAGUCGAAUUGGAGCUCGAUCGGAUGAACUCGCAAUGACUAGUUAGACUUAUCUCCUCUAUAAAAAGGUUCCAAUCUUUAUUGUUUCAAGAGUUUAAUCUUCGUAACCCUUUCUUGAAUAUAUUUGAGCAUUGAAAGUGUGUUUUUUAGUGCACCAUUGUUCUAAAACUUGCAAUCAUUAAUGCACCAGUCAAUCCUAAUUUAUCUUGUAUCAUUUGAACCUAAAGUUUUGUACUAGAUUUUGUGAGAUUAUUUCUUAUCUUCAUUUGUAAAUCUUUGAGAGAAAUAAUCUAAGUGUGAGGUAUCAUUUAGGGAUAUUUAAGUGUGGGGUAUCACUUAGAAAUUCUUAAGUUUGGGGUAUUAUUUGAGGGAUUGUUCAAAAGUGAUCUAUCUCUUAAGGAUUUUAAAGGAUGAACCUAAAGUUCUGUACUAUAUUUUGUGAGAUUAUUUCUUAUCUUUAUUUGUAAAUCUUUGAGAGGAAAAAUCUAAGUGUGAGGUAUCAUUCAGGGAUAUUUAAGUGUGGGGUAUCACUUAGAGAUUCUUAAGUGUGAGAUAUCACUUAAGGGGUUGUUCAAAAGUGAUGCAUCUCUUAAGGAUUGUAAAGGAUGCUUAGAGCCAAAAGUUCAAGAGGGUGAAUUGGAACCAUAAUCCAAUUAUAUUGCUUGAAUGCUUGGUUUGAAAGCCUUGAAUUAGUAGAAUUUCAAACUUGUGAUUGAAACUGGAGGAGAGUGGACAGAGGCUAGGUUGCGUUGAACCAUUAUAAAAAUCUUGUAUUUGCAUUCUCUCUUAUAUUCUCUUUUAAUUUAUAUGCAAUUGUUUUUAUAUUAUUUAUUAUAUAAAUUACAUAUAAUUAUCUCUUAAAUUUACAUAAUUUAAAUUUACAAAAAGAGACCAUCACCCUAUUCACCAUUUUUAGAGUGGUUACCUUAGGUUGGAUUAACUUUUUUUUUUUUUUUAAUACUUUUGAAAUUGGAAAAAUGACGUUCUUUACUCAUUCCUUGAAAAAUAAAAAAAUGAUUCAUUUUGGAUGUUAUUCUUCUUUUUUAUUUUCUUAAAAAUGCCAUUUUCUUCUAUUUCCUAAUUUAUUUAUUUAGUUUUCACAUUUAGGAUACCAAGCUCUCUUUCUCCCUCUAAGUUUAUGCUUUCCAAUUUUUCAUUGAAUUUUUUUAGUGAAGUUCAAAUCCUUAACAAAGAUUAAUGGAUAAUGAUCGGUUGUAGUCCUCUCAUCUUUCUUUUUUCUUCAAGAUUCUUUAUAUUUUCCAUUUUCUCUUUAUUUCUUGUUGGAAUUUUUUAUUAGAGGGUUUUUUUUGAAAUUGUUAUUUUUAAAAUUUUUUGUAGUUGUUUUUUUGCAGGUUUUUUUUUCUUUUUGGUUAACGGUUUUUUGUUGAGGGUUUUUUAUUAGGGCUUCUUACAAUUUCAUUUACACUUCUACAUUGUUUUUGCUUAGGGUUUCUUGGUAGUUAUUUUCUAUUGAAAUUUUGGUUGGGGUCCGUUGCCAUUGUUUUUCAUUAGAGUUUUUUUUAUAGUUGUUUUAUCGAGUUUUAUUUUUUAUUUAUUUUUUUGCAUUUUCACUAAGUCUUAUAAUAAUACCCUCUAUUUUGUCCUUUUGGCACAUGAUACUCAAGUUAGCCAUCAUUCAUCCUUUAUUACUUGUUUGUGCACUUCACGGUCUUUUUUCAAGCUAUUUUUGAGCUCUCAUUGAUGGUCUACUGUGACUAUGUUUAUCACUAGUUUUUUGUAUUUUCUAUAAGAAACAUUUUGGAGGGAUUAGGUGGACCUUAACCUUGAUUUUAGUGACCAUUAAUUCUUAGUUUGUGAUUUUGUUUUUGGUUAAUUUAUAAUAUAUUUAGGCUUUUUUAAAACCUUUAAUGUCACUAGAUAAAUUCAUAAUUUGGAUUGACUAAUAAUAGAUUUCAUUUUUAAAAAAAAAUGUAUAAUGAAGGUCAACAUUGAAUUAAGAAAAAGUUUUUAUUUAUUUAUGAAUUUGAUUUAAUUUGAUCUAAUUAUUUUUGUUUGCAUUUUUUAUUUUUUAUUUUUAUAAAUUAUAGAACUUUAGAUAUCAAUCGUGAUUAUGAAAUAGGUAAAUUGAAAAUUGAUAUAUUAUGGCCACUGAACAUAGGCCCUAAGAUUUUUCAUGCUAUAAUAAUAUUUCUUUUAAUAUCUCAUAAAUCGUAAAUUAAAAUGAAAAUAAAAUUAAGAUUGGAGUUUAUUGAAGACAUCAAAUUCAUGCUUUAAAAUAUAUAUUAAAAUGGGUCGUUUCUUUUAAUAAUAAUCAUACUAAAACAUUUUUUUUUUUUUUUUGCUUUAAUGUCUUACAAGCCACCAACGGCCAACCAGCUGUACCCAACCUUACCAACCGUGAGCCUAGCCUUUUUCAACCUAUAAAACCUAGCCCUUUGUAGCAUUGGGCCAAAAUGACCCAUGUAUUAAAAAAAAAAAAUUAGAUGUAACCAUUUUAUGAAAUUUAUAUUCAAACUAACAUCUUUGAUGCCACGAGGACUCAUGUCAUAAAAAUAUUUUUUUUUUCAAAAUUUUAAUUAAAACCUCAAUUGGUAAUUGAGGUUUCAUUUUUGAACUGAAGUCGCAAUUACUAACUGAGACUUCAGUUAUUGAACUAAAGUCACAAUUGUCAAUUGAGGUUUUAGUUAAAAAAUAAAGUUUCAAUUGACAAUUGAACUAAAGCCUCAAUUGACAACUAAAACUUCAUUUUUUUUAACUAAAACCUCAAUUGUCAACUAAGCCUUAGUUAAUUUUUUUUAACUUUAAAAUUUAGUUAAAAAUUAUUAAAUUAUAGUUUAUUAUUAAAAUUAGAAAUAUAUAUUUUAAUAAUAAAUUAUUUAUAUUUAAGCUUAAAAAUCUAAUAUUACUUCAACAAAUAUAAAUUGAUAGAUAAAAGAUAUUAUAAAUGAAUAUUUUAUUUAUUAAUAAAUUAAUAAUAUUAAAAUAAUAAAUUUAUAUAACAUAUAAAUAAGAUAUAAAAUUGUAUAAUUUAUUAAUUUAAGAUUUUUUUUUAAAGAUAUUAAUGUAUUUGUAUUAUGUUAAAUUUAUCCAUAUGUUCUCUCAUUAUGAAAGCAUAUGAGGUCAUAUAUGUUUUUUUUUUUUCAGCAUAUAAAUGUUUAAUGGGUAUUUUUUGUGACUUUGAUAAAACAACUAAAAAUUAUAUUUUGUAGUAGACUUUUUUUAACUAAUUUUGUCAAAAAAUCUAUAUAUAAAAAUUUAAGAGUAUACUGUUAUUUCAAUAAAGAUAAAUUUCUUAUAAUACAAAUAAAUCAAUGUCUUAAAAAACAACAAAUUAAAUAUCUUAAAUUAAUAAAUUAUAAAAUUUUAUAUCUUAUUUGUAUGUCAUAUAAUUUUAUUAUUUUAAAAUUAUUAAUUUAUUGAUAAAUAAAAUAUUUAUUUAUUGUAUUAUAUUUAUCAAUUUAUGUUUAUUGAAGUAAUACUAGAUUUUUAAGUUUAAAUAUAAAUAAUUUAUUAUUAAAUUAUAUAUUUUUAAUUUCAAUAAUAAGUUAUAAUUUAAUAGUUUUUAAUUAAAUUUAAAAGUUAAAAAAAAAUAUUAACUGAAGCCUCAAUUGGCAAAUACACCUUAGAAGUAUACUAUUAUUUAGAUAAAAAUAAAUUUGUCAUAAUACAAAUAAAUUAAUAUCUUAAAAAAUAACAAAUUAAAUAUCUUAAAUUAAUAAAUUAUACAAUUUUAUACCUUAUUUAUAUGUUAUAUAUAUAAAUUUAUUAUUUUAAAAUUAUUAAUAAAUAAAAUAUUCAUUUAUAAUAUCUUCUAUUUAUUAAUUUAUGUUUGUUGAAGUAAUAUUAGAUUCUUAAGUUUAAAUAUAAAUAAUUUAUUAUUAAAUUAUAGAUUUUUAAUUUCAAUAAUAAAUUAUAAUUUAGUAGUUUUUAAUUAAAUUUAAAGUAAAAAAAAAAUUAAAUGAAACCUGAAUUGGUAAUUGAAGUUUUAGUUCAAAAAUGAAGUUUCAGUUACCAAUUGAGAUUUCAGUUAAAAAUAAAGUUUCAAAUUGCGGUUUUAGUUCAAAAACUAAAGCCUCAAUUGAUAAUUACGGUUUUAGUUUAAAAAAGAAAUCUCCUCAAUUAUCAAUCUAGGUUUUUAUUAAAAGUUAAAAAAUAUAUAUAUUUAUAUGACAUGAAACUAAAGAUGCUAGUUCGAAUAUAAGCUGGAUAAAGUGGUUAGAUGUAAUAUAUUUUUUUUAAUAAAUGGGACAUUUUGACCCAAAACUCUUGAGCUGCAACCAGCCAUACCAAAGACACCCUGCACUAGCCGUCCGUAAUCCUCUACUGCAGCUUCGUUUUAGCUGCCCGAGGCGUCUCAAAUCAGCCCCAUCAAGUUGUCCACUCUCCCUGCUAUGAGCUUGGAAAUAAUCCAAGUCUUCCCAACCGGGAAGACUCUAGCUAGCUUCCAAUACGAAGACUCUAGCUAGCUUCCAAUACAUCAAUACUGAUUUUCUUGAGCUGCAUGUGAUGGUUCUUUUCAUAUUAUUAAUUAACGCCAUUGACUGGUCAUCUUCCCUGACAAUUCAUCAGUUAAAAUCACUGGUUUCAAGGGUACACCCAGCCACCAAUGCAAUAGCAAUACGGAGAAGACUGGGUCCAUGUGAGUAAUUGAUAGGCUUUUUUUUUUUUUUUGGUUUUGGUACGCAGAAAAAGAGGAGUUUUGGGUCAAAAUGCCGUAUAUUAAAAAAAAAAAAUAUUACAUCUAAUUAUUUUAUGAAACUUAUGUUCAAAUGCUUUGUAGGAAUCAUGUCAUAAAUUUUUUUUUUUUUAAAUUUUAGUAAAAGUCUCAAUUAAUAAUUAGGGUUUCAAUUUUGAAUUGAAAUUGUAAUUGUCAGUUGAGGCUUUGGUUUUUGAACUAAAGCUAUAGUUGUUAACUGAGACUUCAUUUUUUAACUGAAACCUCACUUGACAAAUACUUUAUUUUUAAACUAAAGCCUUAAUUGACAAUUAAGACUUUUUAUUUUAUUUUAAAAUUUAGGUAAAAGCUAUUAAAUUAUAGUUUAUUAUUGAAAUUAGAAAUAUAUAUUUUAAUAAUAAAUUAUUUAUAUUUAAGCUUAAGAAUCUAGCAUUAUUUUAAUAAACAUAAAUUGAUAGAUAGAAGAUAUUAUAAAUGAAUAUUUUAUUUAUUAAUAAAUUAAUAAUAUUAAAAUAAUAAAUUUAUAUAACAUAUAAAUAAGAUAUAAAAUUGUAUAAUUUAUUAAUUUAAGAUAUUAAUUUGUUGUUUUUUUAAAGAUAUUAAUUUAUUUGUAUUAUGUCAAAUUUAUUCAUAGGUUCUCUCCUUGUGGAGGCAUAUUAUGUUAUAUAUGUUUUUUUUUUAGCAUAUAAAUGUUUAGUGAAUAUUUUUUAUGACUUUGAAAAAACUACUAAAAAUCAUAUUUUUUAGUAGACUUUUUCUAACUAAUUUUGUCAAAAAGUCUAUAUAUAGAAACUUAAGAGUAUACUAUUAUUUCAAUAAAGAUAAAUUUUUCAUAAUACAAAUAAAUUAUUAUCUUAAAAAACAACAAAUUAAAUAUCUUAAAUUAAUAAAUUUUAAAAUUUUAUAUCUUAUUUGUAUGUCAUAUAAAUUUAUCAUUUUAAGAUUAUUAAUUUAUUGGUAAAUAAAAUAUUCAUUUAUUGUAUUGUAUUUAUCAAUUUAUGUUUAUUGAAAUAAUACUAGAUUUUUAAGUUUAAAUAUAAAUAAUUUAUUAUUAAAAUAUAUAUUUUUAAUUUCAAUAAUAAGUUGUAAUUUAAUAGUUUUUAAUUAAAUUUGAAAGUAAAAAAAAAGCCUCAGUUAACAACUACGGCUUAGGAGUAUACUAUUAUUUCGAUAAAGAUAAAUUUAUCAUAAUACAAAUAAAUUAAUACCUUAAAAAAUAACAAAUUAAAUAUCUUAAAUUAAUAAAUUAUAUAAUUUUAUAUAUUAUUUAUGUGUUAUAUAAAUUUAUUAUUUUAAAAUUAUUAAUUUAUUAAUAAAUAAAAUAUUUAUUUAUAAUAUCUUUUAUUUAUCAAUUUAUGUUUGUUGAAGUAAUACUAGAUUCUUAAGUUUAAAUAUAAAUAAUUUAUUAUUAAAGCAUAGAUUUUUAAUUUCAAUAAUAAAUUAUAAAUUAAUAGUUUUUAAUUAAAUUUUAAAAAAAAAAAAUUGAAGCCUCAGUUGAUAAUUGAGACUUUAAUUCAAAAAUAAAGGCUUCAGUUAAAAAAUAAAGUCUCAAUUGAUUAUUUCGAUUUUAGUUUAAAAACUAAACCUCAAUUGAUAUUUACGGUUUUAAUUUAAAAAUGAAACAUCAGUUACUAAUUGAGACUUUCAUUAAAAUUUUGAAAAAAAAUAUAAUUCUAUGAUACUACUUCUACGUGACAUCAAAAAAGUUGUUUGAAAAUAAAGUGGUUAAAUCUAUUUUAUUUUUUAUCCUGGGCCAUUUUGACCCAAAACUCGAAAAAGAGAGUCGGCAAUUUAUUUGUAUGGCCCACACGAAAUUGAUGAAUCCAUCGCCUUAGAAAUAUGACAUCCAUCAAACUCAGGCAAUCUCCACCGCAUGAAUUUUAAAAGCCACAGCAAUUGGGGAUAUUCUACCGUGGAAGAUGGCAUCAUUUUACAUUCUACUGAGGCCAAUAUCUAUGCUUCGUGGUUCUCUGGAACCAAUCAUGUAUUGCCUUGAACCCUUGAGAGAGAACAUGUGAUAUGCCCACGUCUUUUUAUUUACGCACAUUCCUACUACUUUUCUUUGUUUUUAUUGUAUAAGGUUGGAGGGUGGUCUAUGUAUUGACUCGGUAUGUAUGCUUGACUACAAACUCGAUGGUAGUUCAUAUGAGUGGAUCCUAAUAUUGUUGCAGCAAUUUGCCGAUUUCAGAGAAAAGAGAGAGAGAGAUAAUGGUCGACCCAGAAAUAACUGGAGGGAUUGCAGCGAGUACUUUGAGCUUUCUUCUAGUAAAACUCGAUGCUUUUGCAAUUAGAGAAUGGAAAUUGCAGGAAAAUAUCAAAAAGUCUGUCCAAAAUUUAGGAUGCGAGCUGAGGAACAUUCAGGCCAUGCUGAGAGAUGCUGAUUCAAAGGAAGAGCAUAGUCACCAAUUUACGGUCUGGAUUAAAGAGGUCCGCGAUCAAGCUUAUGCAAUCGAGGAUGCUCUUGACCUGUUCAAACUCAAACAAGAAUCAGUGUGGCGCCGCCUGAAACUGCGUCACUCCAUCAACGACUUGAUACAGGAUAUUGAGCGGAGUCUCCAAAACAUUCAGCGGACAAAGGAGAGGUAUCGCAGCAUGGCCUCCUAUUCAACCAAUGCUGGCAACAACACAUACCUUCAUGUGAGAGUGGCUCCUUUGUUCAUAGGUAACGUUGAUACCGUGGGCAUUGAGGAGCCUACAAAUAAGCUGGUUUCCUGGGCCUUGGAACCGAAACAGAGGCUUGAGGUGAUGUUUGUGGUGGGGAUGGCUGGACUGGGGAAGACCACUCUUGUCCACAGCGUGUAUGAGAGCGUGAAACAGAACUUUGAUUGCCAUAUCUGGAUCACUGCUUCAAAGUCCAAAACCAAACUCGAUAUCUUACGGACCUUGUUGGUGGAGAAAUUCGGCUGUACAAUCACACAGGGGGGCGAUGUGGUUGCUCUGACGCAUAAGCUGAGAAAAUUUCUCCACAACAAACGGUAUGUCAUAGUUCUUGAUGACUUAUGGGUAAAAGAUGUUUGGGAGUCCAUUAGACUUGCCUUGCCAAAUGGUAAGGACAGUAGAAUAAUUAUCACUACAAGGAGAGGCGAUAUAGCUAAUUCUUGGAGAGAUGAUGAUUCUGUUGAUAUCCACAUGCUUCAGCCACUGUCACCGGAAAGGGCUGAGAAACUCUUCUAUAAGAAAGCUUUCUCAAGAAAUGGCAGAUGUCCUUCAGGCUUGGAGGAAGUCUCGAAAUCCAUCUUACAGAAAUGUGAUGGAUUACCACUUGGGAUUAUUGAAAUCGGUAGACUUUUAUCCAUCAAGGCUCCAACUAAAAAUGAGUGGAAAAUAUUACAUGAUAGCCUUGAGUCUGAAUUGAGAGGCAGUGGUGGCCUUUCAAAUAUUACGAAAGUGCUGUCUGCAAGUUAUAAUGAUUUACCUUUCCAUCUCAAGUAUUGUUUCUUGUACAUGAGCAUCUUUCCUGAGACUAGCCCAGUUAAGCGAAGAAGGCUAAUUCGGCUAUGGAUAGCUGAAGGGUUUGUAAUAGAGAAAGGAGGCAAGACAUCUGAAGAGGUUGGGGAAGAGUAUCUGAAUGAGCUGAUUGACAGGAGUCUGAUAAAGGUAAAUGAAAUGGAUUUUGAAGGAAGGCCAAAAAGUGUGGGAGUUCAUAGUCUGAUGCUGAAGAUGAUUCUCUCAGGUGGUGUUUGUUUUUUUGGCUUUUUGCUGAAAACCAUUUAGUUUUAGAAUUUAGGUUGUUUGUUUUUUUACUUUUUCAUGACUUAUUAUAAACUUUUUACUAAAUAGAAAAAGCUAAAAUAUGUGGCUUUUUCUAAAUAGAAAAAAUAACACAAUGAUUUUUUUUACUUUUUAAUACUUAAUAGAAAUAAAAUACUACAAAAACAAACAACCUAAUAUUUAAGACUAUUAAGUAUUAAGGUUCUAUUUAGAAUUAAGUAAAAAAACAAACACCACCUCAGUCUCACGAGAGGAGAACUUUUGUUCUGUUUGUACAGGAUCAGAAAGGAACUUGAGUGAGAAAACCCGGCGCCUAUCUAUUCAGAAGGAAGAUUUUGAUGUGUCUCAGGACUUACCCUGUGUUCGAACCUUCUUCAGUUUCGGUAUAGGCAAAGUAAAGAUUGGUUCCAACUUCAAACUAUUGAAGGUCUUGGACAUACAGGGCACUCCUUUGGAAGAAUUUCCGGGUGUAAUUAAAGAUCUUCUGCUCUUGAGGUACUUGAGUUUGAGGAAUACAAAUAUAAGGAGCAUUCCAGGGACCCUGGGUGACCUUCAUCACCUUGAGACCUUGGAUCUUAAGCAGACUCUGGUAACAAAAGUACCCAAAGCAGUCCUACAACUUGAGAAACUUCGCCAUUUGCUGGUUUAUCGCUACAAUAUGGAAAGUGCCCUACCUUUUGAUAUUGUGCAGGGGUUCAAGGCACCAAAGAGGAUCGGCGCAUUGAAGAACCUACAAAAGCUGUCAUUUGUAAAGGUGAGUGGGCAGCACAGAAUGAGUCGGGAGCACAGAAUGAUACAAGGGCUCGACAAUCUUACGCAGUUGAGGAAGCUGGGCAUUGUAGAACUAGCAAAAGAACGUGGGGCGAGCUUGUGCCUCUCAAUUGAAAAGAUGCCAAAUCUCCACUCCUUGAAUGUAACCUCUCUUAAUAAGGAGGAGCCUCUGGAGCUUGAUGCAAUGACCAAUCCACCGCCCCUUCUUCAACGCUUGUACCUCAAAGGGCCCUUGAAUAGGUUUCCACAGUGGGCAACUUCUCUACAUGACCUGGAGAGAAUACGCCUAAAAUGGUCUUCACUCACAGAAAACCCGAUUGCAGCUCUUCAAAACCUCCCAAAUCUGACAGAGUUGCAGUUGCUUGAUGCAUAUACUGGAACCCAGUUGGACUUCAACUCCGGAAAAUUUCCGAAGCUGAAGAUAUUAGACCUUCAGCAAUUGGAACAGGUGAGGUCUAUCAUGAUGGAAGAAGGCACAUUGCCUUGCCUACAGAAGCUGAUCAUAAGCCACUGCAGCAGGCUGGUGCAGGUCCCUAGAGGUAUUGACAAGCUCAUUCACCUCCAAAUGCUGCUGUUGUACGAUAUGCCCGGAACAUUUGUGACCGGGCUGAGGAAAAACGGUGGUCAAUUUCGCCGUUUGGUUCACCAUAUUCCAUGUAUUCAUUCAUAUAACCAGGCCCAGUUGGAAGAUCUUUCUUGAUCAUUAUACAUCUACGAGGAAGAAUCAGGUCUGUAGAACAACCUGAAUUCAUCGUUUCCUUCUUCUAGAUUCCCCAAAACGUACUGUUGGAUUGCUAUUUCUUUUCUAGGAUUACUGCAUUUUCCUAGGAAACUAUGUAUGGUGCAAUUGAGUAUGAAAUUAUGUCCUCAAUCAAAGGUAUCAUUUUACUAUUAUUUUACAAAGGUAUCAUUUUAUUUAUACGAUGAAGACAUUUGAUUAUACAUAUUUACUUUUUUCUAAAAUUUUAUUUAUUUUUAGUGUUUUUUUAUUUUUUAUUUUUAGCUUUCCAAGUAAUAUGCUCAGCAUAAAAUUCCAUAUUGAUCUAAAAUGAGCCUGAUGGGUCUAUAUAAAGAUCUCUCAUGUAAAAGAUCAAUUUACAAGGAAUACUGGUUAUGUUUGAAAGUAGUUUUAUAUUCUUUAAAAAUAUAAAACAGUUUUUUUAACUUAAAAAACGCUUUCAUCUUGAUUUGAUAUAGCAUGAUGGGUUUAUCUAAAGAUCUUUCGAGUCAAACAUCAAUUAGAAGGAAUAUCGGUCAUGUUUGAAAAUAGUUUUAUAUUCUUUUAAGAAGAUAAGUUAAACAGUUUUUUAACCUAAAAACUAUGAUUGAAAAUUUUCAGGAAUUUGUAGAGUUUGUUUAAAAAAUAAUUUGUUUUUUUUAUAUCUUUAAGAAUUCUUUUCAAAAAAAAAAAUCUCUAAAUCUUAAAACAUCCCUCUAGCUUAAAGAUGACUUUUAGAAAAUUUUACAACUUUUCCUAAUAAAGUCUAGUUCAGAACAUCCAGAAGAGUUAUAUGUAUUCUUCAUAAUCAAAAGAUGUCCGAGAAUCACUUUUAAUAUAAAAAACGUUUUUCUAAAAAAAUAAAAUGUUUCACAAAAUUCAAAAAUCAUUUUUAAAAAAUUGAAGAAUUGUUUAGAGUGUUUUUUUUUUUAAAUUUUUUAUAAAUGUUUAAUAAGUGAUUCUCCUAAAAACUCUUUAAAAAAAACAUUUAAGUAAAAAUUCUUCUGAUAAAAAUAUUAUCAAACAUACUCUAAUUCCUUAUGCUUGAAGCUUCCAAUGCAAUUCAUUGAAAGUAUUUUCCAUAUGACUUCUCCACAAAAUAUUUCUUUAAACUUAAAACUAAAAGUCAUAUUUUUAAAAAAAGAAAAAUAAAUUCUUGACAUGUAUAGGAUAUGAGAUUUUUGUUCUAACACUAGGUUAAAGUUAAGAAUGCAAAAAAAAAAACCUGACCAUUAAGUCAAAUUUAAAUCUUGAUUAAAAAAAAACCAUUAAAAUAAAUUUGCUCUACUUUGUCUCCACCCUCUUACAUUUCUUCCACCCUCUCCCCCAUCCUAUAGAUGUACCACUGUAGUAUUUUUGGAGAGGUUAACUUGCAAAGUAAGGAAAGCUUUUUUUUAAAGGACACUUCUCCACUUGUUUGUCCAAUCGGGAUAGAAACAUAAAAUUUGCUACCAAUGAUGAAGAAAAGUAAACAGAGUGUAAGAAAACAUUUCAUGUUUAAUCUAAAAAUUACAAUCCCAACAAAAAUAUAAAAAAUCAUGUCAAUCUGGUCAAUGGAAAAGGAAACAUAGAAGAACUUAUGAUGAUUCAGUUCUUCUAUAUGAUUCAGUUCUUCUAUGUUCUGCGUGUUAGUAUUGAUGUGAAUGACACGUCUAUAAAAUCUUAGCUACUUUAUAGAGAGAUUUGUUUAUACUAUCAUUUCAAUUUUUUAUUUUUGCAUAUUACAUUUUAUUGGGUAUUGAGUAUUGUUGUGAUGUUAUAGUAUUAGCAAUAUGUUAUUAUUUCAUAAUUAUACUUUUCUAUUUUGAAUAGUUUUAUAUUAAUUUAGCUUCAAUUUUUAUGAUAAUGGAGAUGAAGAAUAAUGAACAAUAUUAAAGAGAAUAUUAGCAACAUCCAACUAUAAGAACUAACUUGAGCAUUACAAGCAUUGUCCCCACUUGUCUUCACCUUUUAAAAAAGGUUAGAUUUUCAAGAAUCUCAACCCAAUAAUUAUGUUUUUUAGGUUGGGUAGCAAAAGUCAUACGGAGAGAGAAAAGUGAUAAAAAAAAGUUCACCAAUCAAAUGGAAAUAGAUUGUUAUUAUUACUGGAUUAACUUGGUCAUUAGAUUUAAAAUAGUACAUAAUAUCAUUGUGGAAUUUGCAUGCUUGGAAGGAAGAAGUCUUGUUCUUUCCAAAGGAAUUAAUGGGAGACAGGGCAAAAUGCCUGUAAGGAAAUGAUAGUAACUUUUGAAAAAGUGGGCUAUAAAGUAAAGGAGAAUUGUGAAAAAUUAAUAUUUGGUCCAUAUAAUUUUCAUAAUUGAUAGAAAUGAUAUAAGAUGUUAAAAGACCAACAUAUCUUUCAAAUUUCUAUACAUUACCUUUUUAAUUUCUAAAGUUUUACUAAAAAAUUGUACUGACAAUUUUCUUGUUAUGAAUUAAAAUACUUUGCAUUAGUCUAUCUGGAUAAGAAAAAUUAUUAAUAUAAUAUUAAAACUUCAUAUCUUAGUUAUUUUUUUCAAUAAAUUUAUCUUUUUGGAUAUAUAUAUAUAUAAUAGAGUAAAGUGAUAGUCAAUUUUAAAAUUUUUAAAAAUAUGGUUAAUGUAGAAAAUAUAAAAAAUAUUUCAAUGAAAAAUCCCAAAAUUUUUAUCAUUGCUUAUAAUAAGAGCAAAAAGAUUCAAUAUCUUUAAAAAUGAAAAACAAAAAAAACAUUAUUACUUUUUAUUUGACAUAAAAUAGAAAUAUAGAUUGGAAGAAAAAAAAAUUAGAAAUGAGUAAUACUUAAUAGAGAAUAGAAAAGGGAAAAAAAAACACAAAAAAAUUGAAAUUCAGACUUACUUGUACCUAUAUAAGGGUUAAGGGUAUUUUAGGGAUUAAUGAAGAAUAAUAUCUUUUAUCUUAAUUUUCAUACUUUGUUUGGGUCUUGGGCUUAAAUAUGCAUGAUAUAUGGACCAAAUGUUAAUUUUUGGGCCCAACUGGACCCAAAACACAAUUCUCCCAUAAAGUAACGUGAAUUUGAAAUAAUUGAUUUGGAAUCCUAUCACCUAGAAAAUGAUUACUCCUUGGGUUAUAAAUUAAAAUGAAUUUGAAAAAAUUCAUUGGAUUCUCAUUACUUUUUUAAAAGGCUGAAUUUGAGUUGACCCAAAAUAAUUUACUUCCAUCAAAAGUAAAUUAUAAGAAUAAAGGCAAGAAAAAAGAAAAUUGGUAUGCACCAUUUAUCUUUUUACUUUGGAUUGGAUAAAUUUUGUAAAAUCAUAUUUUCCUUUUACUAUAUUUUGUAAUGUUAAUAGCAACUAACUUUCAAAAUAAUGGAAAUUAAUUUGUAUAUAAGCUUAUUUGAGUACUUCCAUAUUUUUUUUAUAAUUGAGAAUUUUUUAAAGAUUUUUUUUAAGUAUUAGCUUUUAUAUUUAUUAUUAUUAUUUUUCAUAAAAUAAUAAAUUGUAAGAAAAGAGGAGAAGAACAAGAAGGAAAAUUUAUAAUUUUUUAAUUUAUUUAGAUAUUUAUAAAAAAUAAGAAAAAGAAAAUUAAAUUGUUGAAGCUUCCCAAGCUUUUUGACUGUUAUCUAACAAAUAAUAAUAAUAAUAAUAAUAAGGAACUUCCUUAAAGCAAUGUUAUCAAAAAAUAGAAUCACAUUAGUUAAGCUCAUUUUUUUCUAAUAUAAUAAUAGCAAUUAUAGUUACUUUUUUUUUUUUUUAUUCAACUUAUUUUAAAUAGGGCGUGUGCUUAUGCAAUUAUAUUUAUUUAUUUUUCUAGAAAGAUUAAUAUAUUUAUUUAUUUGUUUAUUGUGGUUAUCUCAAAAUGAUGUCUUAUUUUCUAUUUAAAUAUUGGUAUAUAUGAAAGAUAAAGUUUAAGUAUUCAUUAAUUACGAAUUCAAUUCAACUUACUCCAAUCCAAAUUUUACCCAUAUAACCCAAAAAGCUUGUCUAAUAUGUUAGACCCGUCCAAAUUAUAGUCUUAAUUUUAAAGUCAUAUUGAUUGGUUCAUCCGUUUAUAAAAACAUAGUUAAAUAAAAUUACUUGAAAAUGAAAUUAGUAUUUAGGGCAUUGUAUCAUAAACUUGUACAAAAAAUCCUUCUGAGAAUUAGAUUUUGGUACAGUUAGAUUUUGAAGAGUUUCAAGCCAAUCAAUUUUUUUACUUUUUAUUUUUGAAAGUAGGGUAGAUUGGAAUUUUGUUAUUUUUCAUUAAAAAAACUAAAAAGGCAAAGUGAAUGCAAUACAUUAAAAAAAAAAAAAAAACUUAAUCCUAAUUAUGAAAUCUAAACCUAAUAUUUAUUUAUUUGAAAUGGGUUAGGCGUUGGUGAAUAAUUGAACAUCAUGUGAAGGUUUUUAAUUCAACAUGUAGUGAUAUUGUCAUUUGCCCCCUUCUUUUCUAACAAAAUAAUUUGAUGGAGUUUAAUCCCGAUUAUGCUCGUUAGUAAUCUUAUAAUAUCUCAUAUUUGUGAUCAAAACAUAAAUAUUCAUAUUCAAAGUUUGUAUGAUACGAGAAAAUGAGAAGAAUUAUGGAGACAUGUUUUAAAGUUAGGAACCAAAAAAGAGUAAUUUGAAUUUGUAUUCUUGCUUUUCGUAAUAAUCAAUCCAUGCAUUGAACUCAUGUGUUCAAGAUUAAACUAAUCUAACCCUAUGUCCAAUCCAAACUAUCCGAUCCAAGCUCAACUUCUUAUCAUUCCCAUGACACUCAAAAGCAACAAUAUCAUAUACAAAUAAAUUGAAAUUUAUGUAAAAUAUAUAUCACGUUCAAAUUGGCCUUAGGUUGUCCAAAACCCAAACCCAAAGCCCAGUUUAAUUUAAUUAGAGCAAUAAUAAAAUAAUUCCAAUAAUUACAAUUAAUUUAUAGCAAUUAAAUAAAAAUUUCACAGGAGUAAAAAUUAUUUCCAAUAAAUAUAUUAUAAAGUCAUGUAAAAGUUGCUAGUUACCCCUCUAGUAAAAAGUAUACAUUUAUUUAUCCCACUUUAAAAAAAAUGAUAGUAGUGAAAUCCAUGAACAAAAUUUAAUUAUCAUAUUCUUAAAAAGCACCCAAGAUCCCAAACCAUGAAUUAUAUUUAGGGAUGAUAAUAGGGUGGGUUUAAGACGAGUCGCCCCAUCCCAACCCCGUCCCAUUUAUUUAAAAUAAUUUUCAUCCCCGUCUCAUUUAAAAAAUUAAAUUGGACAGGGCGGGCCGGGAUGGGUAUAAGCAACUCCCUGCCCCGCCUUCGUUUAAUUUUUUUUUUUAAAUUACUUUUAAUAUUUUAAUUACAUUAAAGUAAAUAUAUUUUAUAAAUAAUUAAAUUAUUACAUUUUUUAUGACUUAUUUUAUUAAAAAAUACUUUAUUAUUAUCUAUAGUAGAAUAAAAAUUAAUUUAAUUUAAUUUUAAAAAAUAAUUUUAUAUACAAUUGUAGGGUGGGAUUGGACAAGGCAAUACCUGAACUCAUCCCAAACUCAUCUUGGGUUUAAAAAAAAAAUUUCAAAUCCGUUUAGUUAAAAUUCAAACAUGUUCCAUUAGGGGCAGGAUGGGUACUCGAAAAACCCGUCCCAUUGUCAUUCCUAAUUAUAUUACACCUCUGUGAUCAAAUAAAUAAAAAGAUACGUUUAAUCACAUAUUUAAUUAAUUUUUUAAAAAUAAAAGAAGUUGGGUCGUUGGACCAAAGCACAAAAGUGAGAAGCGCAUAUCUGAGCCCAUUAAAUUUGGGCUUUAACAUUGCCAGUAUGUUAGCCUACAACAAAUUCAAACUCCAAACUCCAAACUCCACCGUCAGAUCCCCAGGCACCAUCUAUGCGUAUCUCUCCCUCUAAACAAUCUCCUCCAUUUUCACGCCAUGCAUAAAGCAACAAUCCCGAGAGAAAAUAGUCUCUCAUUGCUAUAUAUAUUGUCGGAGACUGAUUUUCUUGCCUAAUUUGGAUUUUAAAAUUUCAUGCAUCUCAUUUUGAUCACAAACCUGAGAAAAGCCCCAUAUAAAAAUAACACAAGUAUUACAAAAUAAAUAAGUAUUAAAAAAAAAAAAAGAAUUAUGAACAAAUCUCAAUAUCAAAUAUGAACAACAAACACUAGAUUUAGUGGUUCACAAUAAUUUUAGGUAUGUACGUCAACAUAAGAACGAUAAAGUACAACAAACUAGAGGAGUAGAAUAGAAUACUCAUUUUUCAUCCAAAAUGAUUCCAUCAAAGUAACAAAUUAUGCCAACCUUAUCAUUGAAGAAACCUAAAAGAACAAGUACUAGAAAGGUUGUGAGGAGAUUUGAGCAAUAAUUGUAGUGAACGAAAGUUGAUACUAGAUUUGAAUUCUACUUCUAUUUAAAAGCUAAAUGCACUUCCAUGGCAUGCAAAGAGAUUCCAAAAGCUUUAAAUAAACUGAAUGGUUCUUUGAAGCAUGAUUGAAGCUUCUAAAAGUGUCAAAAAUAGAGAUUCACAAAGAAUUUUGAAUUCAUUCUUCCUUUCUUAAUCAAACCCUCUCUAGGUCCAUAAGUUGUACUAAAGAGCUUUUGAAUGUCAACAAUGAAUGACAAGGUUAUGAAAUAUGAGGUUAUCUUCCACUAAAAAUCAUUCCAAGGAUAGUUUGAUUAAACUUGAUCCACACCUAUAAUGCCCCUAUAAAAAAAAAAAAAAAAUAGAAUUGAGUCAGUUUAAGAAUGAUAGCUCCUAUAUUGACAUGUAAACGGUACCAUAAAAACACUCGUAACACACCUUUCAUGCACAUCUUGAACAUGUAGAUCAAUCAUCCAAGAUUGGCUUCUCCCACUAUUUCAAACUAUUGAAGGUUUUGGACAUACAAAGCACUCCUUUAGGAAACUUUACAAGUGCCAUCAUAGAUCUUCUGCUCUUGAGAUACUUGAGUUUGAGGAAUACAAAUAUAAGGAGCAUCCCCAAAUCCCUCAGGAACCUACGGCACCUUGAGACCUUGGAUCUUAAGCAAACUCUGGUAAAAGAGCUACCCAAAGCAGUCUACAACUUGAUAAACUUCGCCACUUGCUGGUUUAUGCCUACAAUAUGGGAAGUGUUGUAACUUUUGACGCCGUUUAAGGGUUCGCUGUACCGAGAAAGAUCGGAGCAAUGAAGAACCUGCAAAAGCUAUCAUUUGUAAAGGCGAGAAGGCAGAACAGAAUGAUACAGGAGCUCAAAAAUCUGACAAAGCUGAGGAAGCUGGGCAUUGUAGAACUAGCAGAAGAAGAUGGCAACAGCUUGUGUCACUCAAUUGAGAAGAUGCCGGAUCUCCUUUCCUUGGAUGUUACCUCCCUUAGUAAGGGGGAGCCUCUGGAGCUUGAUCCAAUGGCCAACCCCCGCGUCUUCUUCAACGCCUGUAUCUCAAAGGGCACUUGCAAAGGUUGCAAAGUGGGUAUCUUCUCUUCAUGACCUGGUGAGAAUACGCCUAAAAUGGUCCUUAUUGUCCCAAGACAACCCAAUUGAAGCUCCUCAAGAUCUCCCAAACCUGAUGGAGCUGCAGUUACUUGAUGCAUACACUGGAACCCAGUUGGACUUCAACUCGGGAAAAUUUCAGAAGCUUAAGAUAUUAGACCUUGAGCAAUUGAAACAGCUGAGGUUUAUCAUAAUGGAAGAUGGCACAUUGCCUUGCCUACAAAAGCUGAUCAUAAGGCAAUGCAAUGAGCUGAAACAUGUCCCCGUAGGUAUUGACGGGCUCCAUCAUCUUAAUGAGCUGCACCUCUGCGAUAUGCCUGAGAAAUUCGUGGCCCAGCUGAAGAAAAGAGGCGGUGAACUUCGCCAUUUGCUUCACCGUUGUUUGCAUAUUCUCUCAUAUCAACAGGGCCGGUUGGUGGAAGAUCUUUCAUGACCAUAUCUGAUACAUCUGUGACAUGCACCAGUGGAUCAAGAAUCAGGUUUGUAUAACUACAUGGAUUCAUCGCUUGCUUCUUUUGGGUUCCUCAAAAUGCAUUGUUGUCAAUUACUUUACAAGCAAUAUUACUGCAUGUUCCUAGGAAAUCAUGGUGGGAUAUCUAGCAUUUAUACAUAUCAAGCAUCAAAUAUCUGUGGAGUCGUAUUUGAAACUGCCAUUGUUGAAACUACCCCGAGACUCGGUACAAGACAUAGUCGGAUUAUGGUCAGGUGUCAAGCCCCCGAGACUUCCAAUUGAUUUUUAUGCUUCUUGUAUUAAUAAUAGUGUUGGAUUGUAAGGACUGAAUUGUUUUUAUUGUGUUUGGCUUAAAAUGUCGGGAUCAAGUUCCACGUUAAGCUUGUGGGGAUAGCCAUGGACGUAGAAAACGAAUUGAUUAUCAAACCACUCUAAAAAUCUCCUCCUUCUUUUUUAUUUUAUUUUAUUUUUAUUUUUAUUUUUAUUUUCUAUUUGUGUAUGGUUUAAUUAAUUAACAAAUAAUGGCCCUAUGCCUACGUGAAAUUGACUUGUGAAUUUUUAAUAUUAUGUUUUUAUGAUUAUUUUAGAUGAUACUAAAUAUAAUAGUGAUUUGCUUUAAUUUUUAGUUUGUUGAAUGCAUUCUCAUCCAAUUGUAUUUAUAUAUUUUCUCUAAAAUUUUUAUUAUUUUAAAAUUAUUCUAUACUUUUUUAAUUAAUCAAGCAGUUUAUUGUGCCUACAGUCUGGUCUAAUUGAAUAAAAUAUGAUUUAUUAAUGUCAACUCAGCCCAAUCAAUUCUUUCACAGAGGAACAAUGGUUUAUUAAUGUGCAAAUUAAUAGCGUUUUAUAAAUAAAAUAUUCUUAAUUUCCUCUACAAAAACAAAUUAGUGUUAAAUAAACCGAUAAUAAUAUUUUUAUUGGGAUUUUUCAAUGGCAUUAUAAAGUCACCAAUCAAUUAAUAAAAAAUGGUCAUUGAAGUCACCAUGAUUUAUUUAUUUAUUUAUUUUUACCUCGAUAAUGAUCUUAAUUAUCGUUUUUUCUGGAUUAUUUGAGUAUUAAAUUUUUUACAAAAGUAACUUUUAAUCUUUUUUUUUACUUGAAAAUUUUUAUUAAAAAAAAUUCUAUAUAGGGCAUAUAAUUAAGAUUAGGUUUAUUAAUAAAUGAAAUGUUUUUCUUAGCUGCAAUCAUGUUGACCCAUAAAUUUGUAUGAGAAAAUUUGAAUUUCUUUAUUUUCUUUUACAUGACCCAAAGGUUAAUAUAAAUUGUCUUGAAGUAGCAGUAAAGUGAUCAUUUUAAGUACCACAAAUACUUGUGAUUUGGAAAUAAUCAAAGUCUUCCCAAUGGGGACGACCCUAGGUUCCAAUACAUUAGCACUGAUUUCUUUGAGUUGUAUAUGAUGCUUCUUUUCAUGUUAUUUACGACAUUGACUACGGGAAUCCCUUGCACACGCAAGUGGCAUUCAUUAAAAGUUAAGACCACUACUUUCAAGGUCCUAUGUCCAGCUUCUGAGUAACAACAGUAUGAUUGAGUUCAACAACAAAUUUGAGAAUUUUUUUUUUAACCCAAAGUGGGUUUGGGUACAAUGUUGUCCCAUCGAAAUGAUAAAAAUAUCGAUAAUAACGGAUAUAUUAGUAUUUCGAUUUUAUAGAUAUAUUGAAGAUAUAUGUUGGAUAUUUAAAAAAAAAAUAUCGAUAGACUUAAAAUUGAUCAAAAUUCAUAAAAAUGUUAAAAAAAAUCACGUAUAAAUAUAAUUAAAAGUAUAACAAACAUUUUAAAAUUAUUUUAUUGAAAAAUUUAAUUUAUGUAUAAUAUGAUUUGUCAUAUUUGAUAAUAAUAUCAUAUGCGUCGAUAAAAAAAUAUGAAUUUUAUAAGUGUACAUUUAUUAUUAAAUUGCAUAAAAUAUUAUUGCAUAAUAAUAUUAUGAUAUUUGAUUAUAAUAUAUUUAAUUUUAAAAUAUAUUUAAUAUUAAAAUUGUGAUCCAUUUAAUUCAAUUAUAUUAAAUAAUAUAAAAUAAAUGAUGAUAUAUAUACCGUUGUGAUAUUUAAUAAUAAUUUUUAUAACUUGAAAACAUACUUUAUGUAUAUUAAUCUAAUUUGGAUGUAUUUAAUGACAAAAAAAUAAUGAUAAUUUGUAUAAGUAUUUUUUAUUUUAAAAUUUUGACAAUUUUAUUCAAAAAUAUAUAUUUAUUUUAUAUGUAAUUAUUAUAUAAAAGUCACAAUAACUAAAAUUAAUUCAUUUAGAAUAUUUUUUUUAUUAAUUUAUAAUAUAUAUGUAUAUAUUAUAAAUUAAUCUUGAAAGAUGGUUGUCCGGCAGGUGUUGGUGCCUUGGUGGGCGAUCUAUAUAAAUAAUAUGUAAAUUUAAUCAACAACAGCAUGGUUGCCUGGCUGGUGUUGGUGGGCGAGCGUGAGCCUGAGGGUCGUUCGAAUAUCCUUGGUUCCAUUCUUCUUGAUUUACCUUUGCCUUUCAAAAAUUCUAAUUCUUGCAAUCCCACAUCGGUUCAUGACACCAAAAAGGUGUAUUUAAACAUUGGAGUGGUGGAGGUCUCACUUGUGUUCAGAGCACGUUGGGCCCAAGCUGCAUUUUGGGCCUAAACAUUGGGCCAGGGCCAAAAUUAAGAGUUUUAGGGGCAAAAGGAAUUGAGAAUGAUGACGUGGCAGCGAUAUCGUGAAAAUAUCGAGAAAAAUGGCGAUUUUAAUGGAAAUAUCGCCGAUAUUUCCUCUAUAAGGUUAUAUUUAAUAUUAAAUAAAAAUGAUUUUAAUUAAUUUUUGACUUUUUUUAACAUAUAUAAAAUAUUAUUUUUUUAUAAAAAUAAAUUAUAAAUAUUUAUAAUAUUUAUUUAUUUGUAAACUAUAUUUAUUUUUAAUACAAUUUAAAAGUAAAAAAUUAAAAAAUAAAUAAAUAAACAGAUAUGGUGAAUAUGAUAAUCGUUGAUUUUCAUGAUUCUUAGUAAAAAUAAAAGAAAAUAAAAACGAAAAAAAGAAGAAGAAAAACAUAUAGAUUUAAUGUGUUCAAUAGAUUACGUACACGGAAUAGGGAAUAAAACUUUCAUUAUCUUUGAAAUUAGGGUUAUAUAUUAAAAUUUUAUUAUUAUCAUUAUCAUUUAUAUUUUAUUUUAUUUUUAAAUAAAUUUAUAUUUUUAAUAUUUUAAAAUAAAAACAUUCAAAUUAAAAAGAUAAAUAUAAAAAAUUUAAAAGUGAAGUAGUAAUUUUUUAGAAUGGAAUUAAUGAAAUAGAUUAUGAUUUUUUUAAUAUUUAUAUUUUUUAUAUUUAAUUAUCAUAUAAAUAAUAUAAAAAAGACUUAUUAAAAAAUUAUAAUAUUAAAAUUUUAUAUUUUUAUUAAUCAAUUAAAUAUAAUUUAAAAUAAAAUAAUUAAAAUUAAGUUUUUUUAAUGAUGAAGCUUAACAAAUUUAAAUUGAAUAUAUAUUAUCAAAGAGCAUCAUAAUGGUAAAUAUUCGAUAUUUCCCAUAGUGAUUUAAUCCAAAUAAAGAAGGAUAAUUAAUAAUUAUUUAUAUAGAGAGAGGAAAAUUGUUUCAUGAUUUGUUUUUUUUUUUUUUAUCUCUACUAAAUAUAAAAAUCAACCCAAUUCUCUCACUCGGGAAGGCCCUAUUUUCCUCUGCCACUGUCAAUCCUCGCAGGUACUAAUCUAAUCAUGUUAUUAUUAUUAUUAUUAUUAUUAUUAUUAUUAUUAUUUUUGCAACCCCGUUUGAUCCCCAAGAAAAUCCAUCCCCCAUUCGAUUUCCGGGAAAAUUCAUCCUCGUUUGAUUUCCGAGAAAAUCCAUGCAAAACCCCCCAAAGAAAUCCAAAAAAAUUGCUUUUUCUUUGCUCCCUGUGUUUUCUGGAUCUGUUCUAGGGGUCUCUUUGCUUUUGUGCCAUUGGAUUUAAAUUUCACGAAGCCUAAAUCCACGAUUUUUGAGCCAGACUGAAAAAAACAACCUUUGCCUGCAAAUCCACGAUUUAAGAGUUAUAUUUAGUAUUUUUGCAGUCAGUGAAUGUGCCGCCACAUGUUUGAAUGAUUGGAACUUCAAAAACCAGUAACUUGUUUUUGCCAAAGCAAAGGAUUGAAUAUUUCCUUGGUGGAUUUUUGGGAACUGAUCAUGCACCCACAAGAAAUCUCCAUCAAGCAUGAAGUUGUCUUAUUCGAAGGUUGACCCUUGGUGCAUGGGGUCAUUCAAUAAGGUUAAUAAAUUGUCUGGAGGGAGCAGUAAAUGAUAACAUAUAGCCGUGUGCUUGGAAAUAUUCGAAGUCUUCCCAAUGGGGAAGACUCUAGGAUCCAAUACAAUCCUGGUUUUCUUGAUUUAUAUCUAAUGCUUGUGGUUGUAUUAUUUGUGUCAUUGACUCCUGAAGUCUUUUGGAAGUAUACUUGGAUGUGGCAUUCAUCAGUAGUUAAAAUCAUUGUUUUCAGGGCCCCUACGCCAAGCUCCCAAGCAACAGCAAGGUGAAGAGAAAGAGCAUGAACCCAGAUCUAGCUGGAGGGAUGGCAGACGGGGCUGUGUCGUUUCUUCUUCAAAAACUUGAAGCUUUUGCAAGUACAGAAUGGAACUUGCAGGAAAAUAUCAGGAAUGGAGUCCGUGAGUUACAAAGGGAGCUGUGGAGAAUAGAAGCCAUGAUGAGAGAUGCUGAUGCAAAGAAAGAUUAUGAUAACCAAUUCAACGUGUGGAUUCAAGAAGUUCGCACAGAAGCUUAUGCCAUUGAGGAUGUUCUUGACCUGUUCAGACUCCACUGGGAUCAAGAAUCAGUGUGGCGCCACUUGAAAAUGUGGCACUCCAUUAGCAACCUGAUACAGGAUAUUAACACAAGGCUCGCGAUCAUUAAGCAGACAAAGGAGAGGUACCAGAUCAUUAAGGAGAUAAAUGAGAGGUAUCCGAUGAUGGUCCCCACCAAUUCAGUUAGUUCGGAAACCAACACAUACCAUAAUGUGAGAGCAGCUCCUUUGAUCCUCGGCUGGGGCAAUAACACCAUGGGCAUUGAUGAGCCUAAAAGGAAGCUGGUUUCUUGGGCAUCAAAGUCGAAUCAGAAACUCAAGGUUAUGUUCCUAGUGGGGAUGGCUGGGUUGGGCAAGACAACGCUUGCCUACCGCGUGUACGAGGAGGUGAAGGAGCACUUUGAUUGCCAUGCCUGGAUCAUUGCUUCAAAGUACCAAACCAUAGAUGAAACCUUACGGAGCUUGUUGGAGGAACUUGGCUCUUCAACAGAGGGGUCCGGCAUAGUUCUUCUCAUGCAGAGACUGCACAAUUUUCUCCAGCACAAACGGUAUGUUAUAGUUGUUGACAAUUUAUUGGUAAAAGAUGUGUGGGAAUCCAUUAGACUUGCCUUGCCAGAUGGUAACGACAAUAGAAUAAUUAUCACUACAAGAAGAGGCGAUAUAGCUAAUUCUUGCAGAGAUGAUUCUAUUGAUAUCCACAAGGUUCAGCCACUGUCACUGCAAUGGGCUGAGCAACUCUUCUAUAAGAAAGCUUUCUUAGGAGAUGGCAGCUGUCCUUCAGGCUUGGAGGAAGUCUCGAAAUCCAUCUUACAGAAAUGUGAUGGAUUACCACUUGGGAUUAUUGAAAUCGGUAGGGUCUUGCGGAGUAAGCCUCGUCAAACUAAAUACGAGUGGAAAAAAUUACAUGAUAGCCUUGAGUCUGAAUUGAGAAGCGGUGGUGCCCUUUCAGAUAUUAUGAGAGUGUUUUCUGCAAGUUACAAGGAUUUACCUUACCAUCUCAAGUAUUGCUUCUUAUACAUGAGUAUUUUUCCUGAGAAUAAUCCAGUUAAGCGAAGAAGACUGAUUCGGCUAUGGAUAGCUGAGGGAUUUGUAACAGAGGAGAGAGGCAAGACUCUUGAAGAGGUGGGGGAAGAGUACCUGAAUGAGCUUAUUGGCAGGAGUCUGAUAAAGGCAAAUGAAAUGGACUUUGAUGGAAGGCCAAUAACUGUUGGAGUCCAUAGUCUCAUGCAUAGGAUAAUUCUCUCAGUUUCACAAGAGGAGAACUUCUGUACUGUUUGUGCAGGACCAGAAGGAAACUUGACUGACAAACCCCGGCGCCUAUCCAUCCAGACGGGAAACUUUGAUGUGUCUCAGGACUUAACCUGUGUUCGAACUUUUUUCAGUUUCAGUACAGGUAGGAUAAACAUUGGUUCGAAUUUCAAACUAUUGAAGGUUUUGGACAUACAAAGCACUCCUUUGGGAAACUUUCCAAGUGCCAUUACAGAUCUUGUGCUCUUGAGGUACUUGAGUUUGAGGAAUACAAAUAUAAGGAGCAUCCCCAAAUCCCUCAGGAACCUACGGCACCUUGAGACCUUGGAUCUUAAGCAGACUUUGGUAACAAAGGUACCCAAAGCAGUCCUACAAUUGGAGAAACUUCGCCAUCUGCUGGUUUAUUGCUACAAUAUGGAAAGUGCACCUUUUGAUAUUGUUCAGGGGUUCAAGGCACCAAAGGGGAUCGACGCAUUGAAGAACCUACAAAAGCUAUCAUUUGUAAAGGCGAGUGGGCAGCACAGAAUGAUACAAGGGCUCGACAAUCUUACGCAGUUGAGGAAGCUGGGCAUUGUAGAACUAGCAGAAGAACAUGGGGCGAGUUUGUGCCUCUCAAUUGAAAAGAUGCCAAAUCUCCACUCCUUGAAUGUAACCUCCCUUAAUAAGGAGGAGCUUCUGGAGCUUGAUGCAAUGACCAAUCCACCGCCCCUUCUUCAACGCUUGUACCUCAGAGGGCCGUUGGAAAGGUUUCCACGGUGGGUAUCUUCUCUACAUGACCUGGAGAGAAUACGCCUAAAAUGGUCUUCACUCACAGAAAACCCGAUUGGAGCUCUUCAAAACCUCCCAAAUCUGACAGAGUUGCAGUUGCUUGAUGCAUACACUGGAACCCAGUUGGACUUCAACUCGGGAAAAUUUCAGAACCUUAAGAUAUUAGACCUUGAGCAAUUGAAACAACUGAGGUUUAUCAUAAUGGAAGAUGGCACAUUGCCUUGCCUACAAAAGCUGAUCAUAAGGCAAUGCAAUGAGCUGGAACAUGUCCCCGUAGGUAUUGACGGGCUCCAUCAUCUCAAUGAGUUGCACCUCUGCGAUAUGCCUGAGAAAUUGGUGGCCCAGCUGAAGAAAAACGGUGGUCAAUUUCGCCAUUUGGUUCACCAUAUUCCGUAUAUUCAUUCAUAUAACCAGGGCCAGUUGGAAGAUCUUUCUUGAUCAUUAUA
rnacentral:lncRNA from 1 species